rnacentral:rRNA from 1 species
UACGAAGGGGGCUAGCGUUGCUCGGAAUUACUGGGCGUAAAGGGCGCGUAGGCGGACAGUUUAGUCAGAGGUGAAAGCCCAGGGCUCAACCUUGGAAUUGCCUUUGAUACUGGCUGUCUUGAGUUCGGGAGAGGUGAGUGGAAUGCCGAGUGUAGAGGUGAAAUUCGUAGAUAUUCGGCGGAACACCAGUGGCGAAGGCGGCGACCUGGGUCGAGACUGACGCUGAGGCGCGAAAGCGUGGGGAGCAAACAGG